UACGUAGGUGGCAAGCGUUGUCCGGAUUUACUGGGCGUAAAGAGCGCGCAGGCGGUCGUGCAAGUCGCGUGUGAAAGCCCCCGGCUCAACUGGGGAGGGUCACGCGAUACUGCUCGACUCGAAGGCAGGAGAGGGAAGUGGAAUUCCCGGUGUAGUGGUGAAAUGCGUAGAUAUCGGGAGGAACACCAGUGGCGAAGGCGACUGCCUGGCCUGUUCUUGACGCUGAGGCGCGAAAGCUAGGGUAGCAAACGGG
rnacentral:rRNA from 1 species